AGAAAACUCAUGAUUCAUUUCCAAGGAUUGUUUUAUACAUCACGAUGAGAAAAAUGAUUUGGUUUCCUUUUGAUUUCUGGUUUAAGCUAUCCAUCCACAACAUCACUUAUCCUGUCUCUACUCUUAAUGUCCCGCUAGCAAAGCACUGAGUGUGGGUUGCUCAGCACCUUAUAAAAGCAGGGUAUGCUUACAUUUCAUGAAGCAGAGGUCCUUAUUCUUAGGAGUGAAUUAAAUUGUUCUUCAAAUGUAUCACUUAUUGUCUAAACUAUCAUGAUGUCAGUGUAAAAUGCAGGAACAGAUCAUUUCUGUUAGCAUUUUUUUAUUGCUGAGUUUUAGUUGUGAUUUUUCUGCAUAAGUAUUAUGAAGCUGAAUUUCACUUCUCUGUUUCUCAUAUUUUUAUUAGACACAGAAAGGAAAGACAACUUGCUACUGUAGACAGGAAUCUGUCAUGACAACACAGGGUUAUAUUCCUAACUCCGUUCUCCACUGCUUUUGGUUAGUGAAAGACAGUGGAGGAAAUUGAGGUAAAAUGCACUCUGGAUAAUUCCUCAGGAGAUUACUAAUAAGAUACAGCAGCUUCCAGCCAAGUUCACCAGAUCAGGGUGCGCCCAGGAACCACACAUCGUUACCAACUGACAGCUAUUCAAUAGAUCAUCUGAAAUAAGCUUGUGGUCUCAGGUGUCCAAACUCAGGAAAAAAAAAUAAAACACCUCAUUAGAAUUGGAAUUAAUUUACACCUUUUGCCAUUUCAGCAGUGACCAGCCUGCAGAGAAGGCAAUACCACUGCAUUCCCCACGGAACUGAAAAGUGUUGAAAUUACCUUUUUUUUUUAAGCUAAGUGGAAUGCAUGAAAAUCACCCUUGCCCUCACAGUUGGAGAUUUCAGCAAGUUGUUGGGUGUGUGCACUUCAUCCUCGGGAUGGAACUCAUCCCUGAAUGUCAGCAAAGUCGCCAGAGGUAUCAGCUCUGUCUGAAGUUCUCACUGCACCAUCCUGAUCCAUUGGCUCAGCCUUGUGUUAUUGAUGGUGAGAUCAGGGCUGGGCAGCAUCUCAAUACCUUUGGGUCAACUUGAGGGCGCUCUCUGUUUUUUUGCAGGUACAAGUUAUUUCCUUCUCUGCUGCUCCAGUUUCCCUGUUUGAAACAUCAGCUCGUUCUCCUGAAGGUGAAGGCUGCAGCAUUUUUUUUUCCUCUUGAGCCAUCAGCUGAUCUUUCCACCCACGUCACCUUAUUGAAGUGUUGGGGAUCUGGGGGCAUUCAGCAUCAGCUGUGCAUCCCGAAGAUUGCUGGCUUCUUCCCAAAGAGCUGAAAUCUCAUUCUUCUCUCUGCUUUAAUGAAGCUUGCGGAUGCCCCUUUCUCUCAUUUGGUAAUCAGCUGAAGUUCCUGGAAAAGGAGUGGGAGAUGAGUGGAAGGGUCAGAGGCAGCAGAAAGCUGUGAACUGGGCAACUCGGUGCUGAAAUAGGUGAAGGUAAAGGGUGAACCAACCUUUCCGCAUUUCCCUGACAAAAAGCUUGAAAGUGCAACCUUAAAAGAGGUUUCCGAAAGCUCAGAGGGAUGGGGAGAAACACUGGAAAGGAAAUCUCAUAGUGAUGGAGCCUCACUGUGGCAUUUUGAUGCUCUCUGGAGGGAAAUACGGGCAUUUUGCUUCUCCCACCUUUGAGCUGAAGUGGCACACUAGCUGAAGUCCUUCACUCUUUCCUGUUUGAAAGGGCUUCAUUUCUGAUAAAGGUUCGGUGUUACAAAGAGAUACCAAAUCUUCAUGUGUCUUGUGCUUCAGCAAAGCACCGAUAACAGCAAUAAACGCCCUAACGUGAGAUGUUCUGGGGUUAUCUCUGAGGAAGGCUGCUCUUCAUGAGGCUGCCAAUUGCAAAUGAACUUAGUUAUAAAAUUCCUCUUUAUUGCCACCUUUCCAUAUCCCUGAGGUUAAUUCUGAAAUAUGCAUGAAAUGUAAUUAGUGCAGAUCCAUUUCUGCCAGCACGUUUUACACAAGUGGCUCCCAGUGGCAGAUCUGGAUGUAUUCAUAAUAAAAUGAUUCAGUUAAAUGUAAUACCACUUGGUAUGCAGCAUGAGUGUUGUUUGUCUUCACAGCACUUUAAUGAUGCACUGCAGUCUUUGGUAUCGAGGCACUACCUGCAUCUCAAUGAAGAGCUGUGGUUGCUGUACAGGGGAACGCCUAUGAUAACGUUUUCUUGAGCUCAGCCCAAACAGCAUCCUUUAUCUAUUGCUUGAGAUGCAAACUGUAGAGCAUAUUGUGUCCUGGUAGGGGCUAUCAUGACUUCGGUCAUCACUUCAUUUGCUGCAAGUGGAUGUUUAUAGUGGGGCGUCAGUGUGACAAUCUGAUUAAAAAAGGAAAAUAGAAAGGAAGGAGAAAAAAUCAGGGCAUCCAGUGAUCUAAUGCUCAUGCUGGGUUAAAGAAACCAGUGUUUCUUAAACAUCUCACUUACAGCUUGAAGAGUAUUUUAAACUCGUUCUGAGAAGUUACUUGUCUGUUUCACAGAAUCACAGAA